AUUGAACGCUGGCGGCAUGCCUUACACAUGCAAGUCGAACGGCAGCAUAGGAGCUUGCUCCUGAUGGCGAGUGGCGAACGGGUGAGUAAUAUAUCGGAACGUGCCUUAGAGUGUGGGAUAACUAGUCGAAAGACUAGCUAAUACCGCAUACGAUCUACGGAUGAAAGUGGGGGAUCGCAAGACCUCAUGCUCCUGGAGCGGCCGAUAUCUGAUUAGCUAGUUGGUGGGGUAAAAGCCUACCAAGGCGACGAUCAGUAGCUGGUCUGAGAGGACGACCAGCCACACUGGGACUGAGACACGGCCCAGACUCCUACGGGAGGCAGCAGUGGGGAAUUUUGGACAAUGGGGGCAACCCUGAUCCAGCAAUGCCGCGUGAGUGAAGAAGGCCUUCGGGUUGUAAAGCUCUUUUGUCAGGGAAGAAACGGUAGUAGCUAAUAUCUAUUACUAAUGACGGUACCUGAGGAAUAAGCACCGGCUAACUACGUGCCAGCAGCCGCAGUAA
rnacentral:rRNA from 1 species